CCUACGGGUGGCAGCAGUGAGGAAUAUUGGUCAAUGGACGGAAGUCUGAACCAGCCAUGCCGCGUGCAGGAAGACGGCUCUAUGAGUUGUAAACUGCUUUUGCACAAGGGUAAACAUGAAUACGUGUAUUCAGCUGAAAGUACUGUAAGAAUAAGGCUGGGCUAACGCUGUGCCAGCAGCCGCGGUAAUACGGAGGAUCUAAGCGUUAUCCGGAUUUAUUGGGUGUAAAGGGUGCGUAGGCGGAUUGACAAGUUAGAGGUGAAAUGUCCGAGCUCAACUCGGGAACUGCCUCUAAUACUGUUUGUCUAGAGAGUAGGAGCGGUAAGCGGAAUGUAUGGUGUAGCGGUGAAAUGCUUAGAGAUCAUACAGAACACCGGUUGCGAAGGCAGCUUACCAAUCUGUAUCUGACGUUGAGGCACGAAAGCGUGGGGAGCAAACAGGAUUAGAUACCCUGGUAGUC
rnacentral:rRNA from 1 species